rnacentral:misc_RNA from 1 species
UGCCGAGCCUUCGUCUUGCUGCUCUCAGCUACGCUUCGCUUCACUUCAUCCAUUCGUCACCGACAAUGGCGGACAAGGCAGUCACCAUACGAACCAGAAAGUUCAUGACCAACCGGCUUCUCUCCAGGAAGCAAUUUAUCAUUGAUGUUCUACACCCAGGAAGACCAAACGUCUCUAAGGCAGAGCUGAAGGAAAAGUUAGCAAGAAUAUAUGAUGUGAAGGAUGCGAAUGCAAUUUUUGUCUUUAAGUUUCGAACUCACUUUGGAGGUGGAAAAUCAACUGGGUUUGGUUUGAUUUAUGAUUCUGUUGAAAAUGCCAAAAAAUAUGAGCCCAAGUACAGGCUCAUCAGGAAUGGACUUGACACUAAAGUA